rnacentral:rRNA from 1 species
UACGAAGGGGGCUAGCGUUGCUCGGAAUUACUGGGCGUAAAGGGCGCGUAGGCGGAUCGUACCGUCAGAUGUGAAAUUCCUGGGCUCAACCUGGGGACUGCGUUUAAUACAGCCAGACUUGAGUGUGGAAGAGGGUCGUGGAAUUCCCAGUGUAGAGGUGAAAUUCGUAGAUAUUGGGAAGAACACCGGUGGCGAAGGCGGCGACCUGGUCCAUUACUGACGCUGAGGCGCGAAAGCGUGGGGAGCAAACAGG